rnacentral:piRNA from 1 species
UCUAAUUUGUAGGUAGUGUGUGUGU